rnacentral:lncRNA from 1 species
UCGACAUUAUAUCUGCGUCCAUCGGCCCGGAUCCUCCUCAGGCCAACUAUUUCGAGGAUGCUAUAUCCAUCGGAGCGUUCCAUGCCCUGCAGAAAAACAUCCUCGUGUCAUGCUCUGCCGGAAACAGUGGAGACCCUUUCACGGCUACCAACCUUUCGCCAUGGAUACUGACGGUUGCAGCGAGCUCCAUAGACAGGAGGUUUGAAGCCGAUGUGGUCCUUGGAAACGGAAAAAUACUUCAGGUAAGCUGUUGACAGUAUCUGCAACGAGUUGAGCUUGACUUUGGAAACAGGGACUAGCUGUUAAUCCAUACGAUUCUCAGUUCUUCCCGGUGGUUCUGGGAAAGGAUCUUGCUGCCGCAGGAGUGACGCCUGCAAAUGCAAGGUAAUACAAGUCAUCGAGGAAACUCAAUGGUACCUAGUUGCUUUGUUGCGCAGUUUUUGCCAUGCGGACUCCCUGGACGACGUGAAAACCAAGGGGAAAAUAGUCGUUUGCCAGCAUGAAAUCCCGAUCGAGUCGAGGGGAGCCAAGGCCGCCGAAGUGAGUCGAG